AGUGAACGCUGGCGGUAGGCCUAACACAUGCAAGUCGAACGGCAGCACAGUAAGAGCUUGCUCUUACGGGUGGCGAGUGGCGGACGGGUGAGGAAUACAUCGGAAUCUACUUUUUCGUGGGGGAUAACGUAGGGAAACUUACGCUAAUACCGCAUACGACCUACGGGUGGAAGCAGGGGAUCUUCGGACCUUGCGCGAUUGAAUGAGCCGAUGUCGGAUUAGCUAGUUGGCGGGGUAAAGGCCCACCAAGGCGACGAUCCGUAGCUGGUCUGAGAGGAUGAUCAGCCACACUGGAACUGAGUCACGGUCCAGACUCCUACGGGAGGCAGCAGUGGGGAAUAUUGGACAAUGGGCGCAAGCCUGAUCCAGCCAUACCGCGUGGGUGAAGAAGGCCUUCGGGUUGUAAAGCCCUUUUGUUGGGAAAGAAAAGCAGCAGGUUAAUACCCCGCUGUUCUGACGGUACCCAAAGAAUAAGCACCGGCUAACUUCGUG
rnacentral:rRNA from 1 species